rnacentral:rRNA from 1 species
GAUGAACGCUGGCGGCGUGCCUAAUACAUGCAAGUCGAGCGAACAGACGAGGAGCUUGCUUCUCUGACGUUAGCGGCGGACGGGUGAGUAACACGUGGAUAACCUACCUAUAAGACUGGGAUAACUUCGGGAAACCGGAGCUAAUACCGGAUAAUAUAUUGAACCGCAUGGUUCAAUAGUGAAAGACGGUUUUGCUGUCACUUAUAGAUGGAUCCGCGCCGCAUUAGCUAGUUGGUAAGGUAACGGCUUACCAAGGCAACGAUGCGUAGCCGACCUGAGAGGGUGAUCGGCCACACUGGAACUGAGACACGGUCCAGACUCCUACGGGAGGCAGCAGUAGGGAAUCUUACGCAAUGGGCGAAAGCCUGACGGAGCAACGCCGCGUGAGUGAUGAAGGUCUUCGGAUCGUAAAACUCUGUUAUUAGGGAAGAACAAAUGUGUAAGUAACUAUGCACGUCUUGACGGUACCUAAUCAGAAAGCCACGGCUAACUACGUG